CGCAAUGGACGAAAGUCUGACGGAGCAACCCCGCGUGAGUGAUGAAGGCUUUCGGGUCGUAAAACUCUGUUGUUAGGGAAGAACAAGUGCUAGUUGAAUAAGCUGGCACCUUGACGGUACCUAACCAGAAAGCCACGGCUAACUACGUGCCAGCAGCCGCGGUAAUACGUAGGUGGCAAGCGUUAUCCGGAAUUAUUGGGCGUAAAGCCCGCGCAGGUGGUUUCUUAAGUCUGAUGUGAAAGCCCACGGCUCAACCGUGGAGGGUCAUUGGAAACUGGGAGACUUGAGAGCAGAAGAGGAAAGUGGAAUUCCAUGUGUAGCGGUGAAAUGCGUAGAGAUAUGGAGGAACACCAGUGGCGAAGGCGACUUUCUGGUCUGUAACUGACACUGAGGCGCGAAAGCGUGGGGAGCAAACAGGAUUAGAUACCCUGCUAGUCCACGCCGUAAACGAUGAGUGCCAAGUGUUAGAGGGUUUCCGCCCUUUAGUGCUGAAGUUAACGCAUUAAGCACUCCGCCUGGGGAGUACGGCCGCAAGGCUGAAACUCAAAGGAAGUGACGGGGGCCCGCACAAGCGGUGGAGCAUGUGGUUUAAUUCGAAGCAACGCGAAGAAACUUACC
rnacentral:rRNA from 1 species